ACUAAAUAAAACAGAGAUGUGAUUAAAUAUUCUUUAAAAAAUAAAGUGAAAGGACAAAAAGGGAAACUCUUUUUCAGAAGGUCAUUUUUCUUUUCAGCUGCACAUCUCACAGCUUUCAGCUUAAUUUUGUUCUUCAGGUGUUACCUUGAAGGAAGUUCUAAAUUGAGAAAUUAUUUUUAUUUUAUUAGUUUAGACAACAGUUACGUUCAGGUGAAUUGUUUUGUUAUGUUACGUUUGUCUGUUUUGUGGAAAAUGACUUUUGGCUGCAGUAAUAGGAAAAGUGUAGAAAUGAGGGAGCAAAUGAUUGUGACCAAACAGAAGUUUUGAUGAGACAAGACAUCAAUAAUAAGCAAUUAUUUCAAUUUUUUACAUAAAAAGUACAGUACAUCAGUAGUAGAGUGGUUCUGGUGUUUGAAAAAUGGUAACUAAUAAAACAGGAAGUUUGUAAUAGUUACAAAGACACUACUGCUUACACCCUUGCUUAAAGCCUGAAUAAGCCCAUAUUGAGAAAACAUUCUACAUACAUUGUUGUGAAAAAAA